rnacentral:rRNA from 1 species
GAAUAUUGCACAAUGGAGGGAACUCUGAUGCAGCGACGCCGCGUGAGUGGAGAAGGUCUUCGGAUCGUAAAACUCUGUCCUUGGUGAAGAAAAAAAUGACGGUAGCCAAGGAGGAAGCCCCGGCUACCUACGUGCCAGCAGCCGCGGUAAUACGUAGGGGGCGAGCGUUGUCCGGAUUUACUGGGCGUAAAGGGUGAGUAGGCGGUUGUAUAUGUCAGGUGUAAAAGGCUAUGGCUUAACCAUAGUUAGCACUUGAAACUGUACAACUUGAGUGCAGGAGAGGUAAGUGGAAUUCCUAGUGUAGCGGUGAAAUGCGUAGAUAUUAGGAGGAACACCAGUGGCGAAGGCGACUUACUGGACUGUAACUGACGCUGAGUCACGAAAGCGUGGGUAGCAAACA